UGGGAUAGAGGUCAGUGGUAGAGCCUUUGAUUGCAGAUCAAGAGGUCCCCAGUUCAAAUCUGGGUGUUCCCU